rnacentral:rRNA from 1 species
CCUACGGGAGGCAGCAGUGAGGAAUAUUGGUCAAUGGGCGCGAGCCUGAACCAGCCAAGUAGCGUGAAGGAUGACUGCCCGACGGGUUGUAAACUGCUUUUAUAAAGGAAUAAAGUGAGGCACGUGUGCCUUUUUGUAUGUACUGUAUGAAUAAGGAUCGGCUAACUCCGUGCCAGCAGCCGCGGUAAUACGGAGGAUCCGAGCGUUAUCCGGAUUUAUUGGGUUUAAAGGGAGCGUAGAUGGGUUGUUAAGGCAGUUGUGCAAGUUGGCGGCUCAACCGUAAAAUUGCAAUUGAUACUGGCAGCCUUGAGUCCAGUUGAGGUAGGCGCAAUUCGUUGUGUAGCGG